rnacentral:rRNA from 1 species
UAAUAGCCUAUUUAUAAGAGGGUGGAAAAUACGAACAACAGUUUAAACACCAAAGAAUUUGGCGGUGUCUCAAUUAAUUAGGGGAACCUGUCCCUUAAAUCGAUAAUCCACGAAAGCCUUACCUAGCUUUGAAACUCAGUUAGUGUACUGCCGUCUUAAGCAUACCUUUAUAAGUGUAUACAAUACAUCAUUUAACUGAUAAAACGUCAGGUCAAAGUGCAGCUUAUAGCUAGGCGGAGAUGGGUUACAACCUUAAUAUAGAUUACGGAUAAACCAAUAAAAUGGCUUUUAAGGUGGACUUAACAGUAAUUAACUAUCUAUUAAUGAAAAUUAUAUGAGACAAGU